UGUAAACAAAACAUUCGGUCCAUUUAACUCAGCGCUCCGUCAUAGCUGGAGCGCUUCCUUCUGUCAGGAGGAUCCAAGUGAAGCGACAGGAGUUUCAUUAACGUCAAUAACUUGGACCGACCAGUUUGUUUUGCUUGAUGAAGAGCAGGAAGGGCAGCCUGGAGAGAAAGAGAAGCCGGGUUGAGCCCACUACCAUCAUCCACGUACCACGAGGAAGAUGAGGGAGAGAAAUGAUCCUACCAUUAAAGAGACUGUGAAAAGAGCGUUGAGAACAUCACCACUCUACAGGAAGACACAGUCCAGUAAUGGGUGUCAGAAGUUCAGUAGUGAACGACAGAAACAAACAAUCCAAAUUACCUGCAGAACGCCCUUGAUGGAAGCUUCAGCUGCAUCGUCAGACUGGC